rnacentral:rRNA from 1 species
CCUACGGGAGGCAGCAGUGAGGACUAUUGGUCAAUGGGCGCUAGCCUGAACCAGCCAAGUCGCGUGAAGGAUGACUGCCCUACGGGUUGUAAACUUCUUUUAUAAAGGAAUAAAGUGCGGCACGUGUGCCUUUUUGUCUGUACUUUAUGAAUAAGGAUCGGCUAACUCCGUGCCAGCAGCCGCGGUAAUACGGAGGAUCCGAGCGUUAUCCGGAUUUAUUGGGUUUAAAGGGCGCGUAGAUGGGUUGUUAAGUCAGUUGUGACAGUUUGCGGCUCAACCGUAAAAUUGCAAUUGAUACUGGCAGUCUUGAGUACAGUGGAGGUAGGCGGAAUUCGUGGUGUAGCGGUGAAAUGCUUAGAUAUCACGAAGAACUCCGAUUGCGAAGGCAGCUUGCUAAACUGCCACUGACAUUGAUGCUCGAAAGUGUGGGUAUCAAACAGGAUUAGAUACCCCGGUAGUC